GUCUUACCUGCCAGUGACAGUUAAACGGCCGCGGUAUUUUGACCGUGCGAAGGUAGCGCAAUCACUUGUCUUUUAAAUGAAGACCUGUAUGAAUGGUGGAACGAGGGCUUAACUGUCUCCCCUUUCAAGUCAAUGAAAUUGAUCUGCCCGUGCAGAAGCGGACAUAAAAAUACAAGACGAGAAGACCCUUUGGAGCUUAAGAUAUAAAAUCAACUAUGUCAAGAACCAUAAAGUCAAACUAAAUAGCACAUGAUUCUAAUCUUCGGUUGGGGCGACCACGGGAGAAAACCAAGCUCCCAUGAGGACUGGGGUAAACCCCUAAAACUAAGAAAGACAUUUCUAAGCCACAGAACAUCUGACCAUAGAGAUCCGGGCACACCGAUCAACGAACCAAGUUACCCUAGGGAUAACAGCGCAAUCCCCUUCCAGAGUCCAUAUCGACAAGGGGGUUUACGACCUCGAUGUUGGAUCAGGACAUCCUAAUGGUGCAGCCGCUAUA
rnacentral:rRNA from 1 species